CAGUCAGAAUGAGUUACUUAGUCAGAUUACUCACUCGUGAGUAAAAAGGAUGUUUUACAAGGAAAGCCCAAGUGGUUUUCUGGUGAAAAGCGGGCCCUCAUUUUGCACUGCAAGCGGCUGUGUCCUACAGCAGGCUGUGCGUGUGUGAGGAGCCAGCUACGGCUCCGCUGAGCCCGAGCCAGCCGCGGGCAGGGCAGGGCAGGGCCGGGCGGCUCUCCCGCUUCCCCGGCAGGCUGCUGCCGCUCUCAGGGCUCUUUAAGCGGGAGGCCCCGCUGUCACACACGGUGCCCGAGCACUGCAGCGCUCCCUGAGCUGGCACAGCCGGGGAGCCCGUCCUGCCCUGCCCGGCCCUUCCCUCCUCCCGCGGGCGGAGCAGCGCCGCGGGAUGCGCGCCCGGCCCCGGCAGCGCCCGCGGGACCGCGCCGGGCACCGAGCAGACUCUUGACAUGGAGGAGAUCAUGGUGGAAACAAUCCUGGCCCCAUGGGAAAUCCUGCUGGUCAUUUUUGCUGCCGUGCUGGUGAUGAGUCUCCUGAUGCUGCUGCCCCCCGCUGCGGUGGUGAUCUGGAGGAUGAGGCGCGCACCCCAAAUCUCACUGCAAGGCUCUGUGUGAGCAGCCCUGCUCCCAGUGCUGCCCUGGCAGGAUGGGCCACACUGAUAACAUCCUCAGCAUCACUCUCACUGCCUGUGGUCCACCCAAAAGCAGUGGGUCUGCUGGUGCUGCCAAGUUCCCGUGGAAAGAGGAUGUUUGUGAUUUGUCACCGUGAGCUGCGCUCUCCGCACUUUGCCUUCCAUGUUUCGUCUGGGCUGUGAUUAAUGUUGUUGGCUCAGUCCCUAGACUGAGUUGUUCUCUUGUGGACUGAAAGAGAAGUAAGGAUAAUGCAGCACUGGAUUCCCUUAAUUAAUAUCAGGAAAGCCUCCCUCUCUAUAGUUACACUGUAAAUACUACUGAAGCCUUUAACUGACUGACACUUAUGCAGGUGGAUUUAUCUAAAGCAUGCAGGAUACUCUGGGGAGGCAGUAGUUUAGUCUGGUUGUAUUGCAAAACCUAAAAAAAAAAUAAAAUUUCAGAGAAUGUUUCAAGAAA